rnacentral:miRNA from 1 species
UGUGUCCCAUUAUUGGUGAUU